rnacentral:tRNA from 1 species
AGGCUUGUAGCUCACGUGGUUAGAGCGCACCCCUGAUAAGGGUGAGGUCGGUGGUUCAAGUCCACUCAGGCCUA